GACGAACGCUGGCGGCGUGCUUAACACAUGCAAGUCGAACGGAAAGGCCCUGCUUUUGUGGGGUGCUCGAGUGGCGAACGGGUGAGUAACACGUGAGUAACCUGCCCUUGACUUUGGGAUAACUUCAGGAAACUGGGGCUAAUACCGGAUAGGAGCUCCUGCUGCAUGGUGGGGGUUGGAAAGUUUCGGCGGUUGGGGAUGGACGCGCGGCUUAUCAGCUUGUUGGUGGGGUAGUGGCUUACCAAGGCUUUGACGGGUAGCCGGCCUGAGAGGGUGACCGGCCACAUUGCGACUGAGAGACGGCCCAGACUCCUACGGGAGGCAGCAGUGGGGAAUAUUGCACAAUGGGCGGAAGCCUGAUGCAGCGACGCCGCGUGCGGGAUGACGGCCUUCGGGUUGUAAACCGCUUUCGCCUGUGACGAAGCGUGAGUGACGGUAAUGGGUAAAGAAGCACCGGCUAACUACGUG
rnacentral:rRNA from 1 species